GGGUUUAUUGUUUAGAGUUUUGGGUUUAGGGUUUAGAAUUUAAGCUUUAGAGUUUAGGGGUUAGAAUUGAUGGUUUAGGGUUUAUGGCUUAGAUUUUUGGGUUUAGAGUUUAGGAUUUUGGGUUUAGAGUUUAGAGUUUAGGAUUUUGGGUUUAAAGUUUAGGAUUUAGGGUUUAAGAUUUGGGUUUAGAGCUUAGGAUUUGAGGUUUAGGGUUUAGAUUUUAGAUUUUUUAGAAUCUCGGGUUUUUUUAAAUGGUAUUAAAGUUGGUGUUGUUUUUUUCAACCAUUUUUAAAAAAUUUAUUGCAUUUUUUAACUAAUCCUACAUGGCAUUUUAGUUGAUUAUAAGAAGUGAGGUGAGUUUAACUAUUCACCACAGGAGUGAACCCAACUAUUGUUCCACGAGAAAGUGUUUAAUUAAUAAUGUGCGUCAUGUAUUUGGACCUAAAUAAAGUGUGACGAGACAGUAAAAAGAGAAACAGAGUAUGAUAGCACAACACAAAAGCAAUACAGUAUAUUAUUGACACAAACCGUUAUCAACAAAUACAACCCGACCCUUUAAAAAUUCCAGUAAAUUACAACCAAAUGCUUUAAACAUGCACGAUAGUGAGGUGUAUCAUGGAAGUUCAUAUAAAUGACAUAAACUUUUGACUCUUCAUAUAUACACGCUGAAAAGGGGAAUGAAAGUAACAUGACCAACAAGUAAACAUCAAAAAGUAUAAAACCUAAUAUCUUUUGUAUUUAACCAUCCCUUAUAUAAUGCCCAUCAUUUUCGCAAACACACACACACACACACACAUUUAUUCAAUACCUUAUACCAUUCUAAAUUCAACUGAUCUAUCAAAAUUAAGUAUCAAAUUGAAAAUGAAAAAUUUGUGGUGGGAGAGAGAUUCACACCUUUUGUAGAAAAUGCGUGUGGGACAAACUGAGAGACACACGGCGUUUUCGUUUCUGCCUAGAAUCAAAACUUAGUGCUAGACUGCAUACAAUGGACAUGUUUAACUCUUUACAAUGAGCAUAUUCGUAAACUAUUUAACUGUUGAAAUUAUAUUAUAAGGAUGUUGAAAAAAUAAACAAUGAUGUGAAGUAAACAUAGUUGAAUUCAACAAGUUAAAUAAAAAAAAUAUGGAAUCACCAACACCAUGUGUUUUGUUAUUAUUAGUGGUAAAGUUUUUUGUUAUUUUUAUUACAUCUUUAUUAUUUAACACUAAUUAUUCUUUAAUCAAUUCAAUUACGUUUAUUUAUCAAAAUUUAUUUAUUUCACAUUCUCUAUAAAUAGAGAUUGAUUUCAUUUUUUGGACAUAGAAAAUAUUUUUCAAAUAGUUUUUGAAAUAAAUCUUAACAAUAACUCUUUUAACACAAUUUCUUUAAUUAUAUUUCUGAAAAAUAAUUUUCAAAACUUUUAGUUAUUUUAAUUUAAUUUUAGUUAACAAUAAUAUAUAGUAAAUAGUAUAUGAAAUGAAGAUGGUAAGAUAUGGUGUUGAAUAUAAUUAAACAAAACAAUUAAAAAGUAGAAAGUUGAAUGUGUGUUGAAUUAUUAGGUGGAUAAAAAAAAAAGAUGUGGGGUAUUUAAAAGUCAAAAUAUAUUGUUGAAUUUCAAAACUAUAAUUGUGGUUGAAUACACAAGGCUAAAAAGUCAAUGACUUUGGCUCCCUCUCUUCAUCUUUACUCUAUUAUAAAUUGAAGGGCCAAUCGGCCAACUCUAUUUGUCUUUAAGAAACUAAAACAUAAACCAAUUGAUAACCAAUCUUUUUUUCUUUCUCCUCUCUCUCACAGCUAAAGCAUAAAUAUCGAGAGAGAAACUUUUGAUUGUCUGUGUGGUUUGUGAGAGAUGGAAGAGGCAAACAAUCAAAGUAAAAAAUGGGAACAAGAGGAGAUUAGUAAUGAAAUGAAUAACUGGGAACUGACUGAAGAAGAAAGUGUUGAUUGGAGAGGAAGACCAUCCAACCCCAAGCAUGGUGGAACGAGAGCUGCUCUCUUUGUUCUGGGUACUCUCUCUCUCUCAAAAACUAAUUUAGUGUUAAAGAUUUGUUUCUAACCGGUGAUGGAUCAUAUUAUACUAGUGUCUUGGUCGAUAAGAACCCAGCUUAUCCAAUUUAUGGUCCCACUAACCAUAAUUAUUUAUUCCAUGGACCUUGGUCAAUAUAAGAUUUCAUAAUUAUUCUAUGGCUUAUAGAUUUGUGAUUUUUAAUUUUUAAGGACUACAAGCCUUUGAGAUAAUGGGGAUAGCAGCAGUAGGGAACAACCUUAUAACAUAUGUUAUCAACGAAAUGCAUUUCCCCUUGUCUAAAGCGGCCAAUAUUGUUACCAACUUUGUCGGCACAAUCUUUAUCUUCGGCCUCCUCGGGGGCUACCUCUCUGACGCCUUUCUCGGCAGCUUCUGGACCAUGCUCAUCUUUGGCUUCGUUGAGCUUUCUGUAUGUCUAUGCUCUCCUUCUAUUAUUUACAUAAAAGUAUAUAUAUAGAUCUAUGAGCUUUCUGUAUGUCUAUGCUCUCCUUCUAUUAUUUACAUAAAAGUAUAUAUAUAGAUCUAUGAGUUCCAUGGCUUCCAUUCCGAAACAAACAUGGGACCCCUAUUAUAUAUAUUUGGAUAUAUAUAUAUAUAUAUAUAUAGUGACGUAACUAUUUACGUGUAUACGUCCAUGCAUGCUUUUGGUGUGUACUCUUUUAUAUAUAAGUUUGUUAUUUAUUAUUUAUUUUGCACCAAAAAAAAGUUUAUUAUUUAUUCACGAAUAUGUCAUUGCUACAAAGAAAGAAAUAAGAACUAUUUAACAUCAUUAGUUAGUGUUUAAGAUAAAAGCAAGUUAAAAACGUUUUAAGAUCAAAUUUCUAGUUCUGAGACUUUUUAAUUGUUUUUCUAAGAGAAAAUUCAAUGUAACUUUAAUUGAUGAUAUAUCAAUGUUUAAGAUCAAAGUUUAUAAUUCUGAAGACUUUUUAAUUAUUAAUUAAUUGGUGUUUAACUCUUUACUGCCACCUGUCUUCCCAGGGUUUCAUACUAUUAUCAGUACAAGCACAUUUACCUCAACUAAAGCCACCAGAGUGUAACCCACUUAUAGACCAAAGCUCAUGUGAAGAAGCAAAAGGUUUCAAGGCAACGUUCUUCUUCAUGGCACUCUACUUGGUGGCUUUAGGAAGUGGCUGUGUGAAACCAAACAUGAUAGCUCACGGUGCGGACCAGUUCUCUCAGUCACAUCCUAAACAAUCUAAAAGGCUCUCAUCUUACUUCAAUGCCGCCUAUUUCGCCUUCUCCAUGGGCGAGCUUAUCGCGUUAACUCUCCUCGUUUGGGUCCAAACUCAUUCGGGCAUGGAUGUUGGAUUUGGAGUCUCUGCUGCAGCCAUGACGAUAGGCCUCAUUAGCUUAGUCUCCGGCACUAUGUUUUUUCGUAACAAACGUCCACGUCGAAGCCUCUUCACUCCCAUUGCCCAAGUUAGUUUUGGUCUUUUAACACAAUUUCUUUAAUUAUAUUUCUGAAAAAUAAUUUUCAAAACUUUUAGUUAUUUUAAUUUAAUUUUAGUUAACAAUAAUAUAUAGUAAAUAGUAUAUGAAAUGAAGAUGGUAAGAUAUGGUGUUGAAUAUAAUUAAACAAAACAAUUAAAAAGUAGAAAGUUGAAUGUGUGUUGAAUUAUUAGGUGGAUAAAAAAAAAAGAUGUGGGGUAUUUAAAAGUCAAAAUAUAUUGUUGAAUUUCAAAACUAUAAUUGUGGUUGAAUACACAAGGCUAAAAAGUCAAUGACUUUGGCUCCCUCUCUUCAUCUUUACUCUAUUAUAAAUUGAAGGGCCAAUCGGCCAACUCUAUUUGUCUUUAAGAAACUAAAACAUAAACCAAUUGAUAACCAAUCUUUUUUUCUUUCUCCUCUCUCUCACAGCUAAAGCAUAAAUAUCGAGAGAGAAACUUUUGAUUGUCUGUGUGGUUUGUGAGAGAUGGAAGAGGCAAACAAUCAAAGUAAAAAAUGGGAACAAGAGGAGAUUAGUAAUGAAAUGAAUAACUGGGAACUGACUGAAGAAGAAAGUGUUGAUUGGAGAGGAAGACCAUCCAACCCCAAGCAUGGUGGAACGAGAGCUGCUCUCUUUGUUCUGGGUACUCUCUCUCUCUCAAAAACUAAUUUAGUGUUAAAGAUUUGUUUCUAACCGGUGAUGGAUCAUAUUAUACUAGUGUCUUGGUCGAUAAGAACCCAGCUUAUCCAAUUUAUGGUCCCACUAACCAUAAUUAUUUAUUCCAUGGACCUUGGUCAAUAUAAGAUUUCAUAAUUAUUCUAUGGCUUAUAGAUUUGUGAUUUUUAAUUUUUAAGGACUACAAGCCUUUGAGAUAAUGGGGAUAGCAGCAGUAGGGAACAACCUUAUAACAUAUGUUAUCAACGAAAUGCAUUUCCCCUUGUCUAAAGCGGCCAAUAUUGUUACCAACUUUGUCGGCACAAUCUUUAUCUUCGGCCUCCUCGGGGGCUACCUCUCUGACGCCUUUCUCGGCAGCUUCUGGACCAUGCUCAUCUUUGGCUUCGUUGAGCUUUCUGUAUGUCUAUGCUCUCCUUCUAUUAUUUACAUAAAAGUAUAUAUAUAGAUCUAUGAGCUUUCUGUAUGUCUAUGCUCUCCUUCUAUUAUUUACAUAAAAGUAUAUAUAUAGAUCUAUGAGUUCCAUGGCUUCCAUUCCGAAACAA
rnacentral:lncRNA from 1 species